rnacentral:rRNA from 1 species
AUGUUCGGUAAGUUGAAGGAGGCCCAGAAGAAGAAAGACCUUGAGCUAGCUGAGAAGACCAAGCUUGCUGACGAGAAGUUAGCUUCGGUCACCAAGCUUGAAGAAGAAAAUACUAAUCUGAAAGCUGCUUUUGGGAAGAAGAAUGAUCUGGAGGCCUUUCUGAGUGGACUUGCCAAGAAGUUGUUCCUCAUGCUCGAAGAAUUUUGCCAAAACUUUGAAGAGGAAACUAGUCGGCUGGAACCAAACCUGGACCCCAUCAACUCUCCGGUGACCGAUGAAGUUGCCAUGAACGUGUUCCGGCUUGAGUCUCGCGUUGCUGCUGUCGUUGACUAUCUUUCAAGGCCGAAGGUCGCCACUUCCCGCAUUGACACCACGCUCUGGCCCAGGGAGACGCUCCAGAACGAUCUCGAGUCUUUGAUGGCUCAACUAAACACAGUUCCUGGUCGAGUGUAG